rnacentral:rRNA from 1 species
AGCGAACGCUGGCGGCAGGCCUAACACAUGCAAGUCGAACGAACUCUUCGGAGUUAGUGGCGGACGGGUGAGUAACACGUGGGAACGUGCCUUUUGGUUCAGAAUAACUCAGGGAAACUUGUGCUAAUACCGAAUGUGCCCUUCGGGGGAAAGAUUUAUCGCCAUUAGAGCGGCCCGCGUCUGAUUAGCUAGUUGGUGAGGUAACGGCUCACCAAGGCGACGAUCAGUAGCUGGUCUGAGAGGAUGACCAGCCACACUGGGACUGAGACACGGCCCAGACUCCUACGGGAGACAGCAGUGGGGAAUCUUGCGCAAUGGGCGAAAGCCUGACGCAGCCAUGCCGCGUGAAUGAUGAAGGUCUUAGGAUUGUAAAAUUCUUUCACCGGGGACGAUAAUGACGGUACCCGGAGAAGAAGCCCCGGCUAACUUCGUGC